UGGGGAAUUGUUCGCAAUGGGCGCAAGCCUGACGACGCAACGCCGCGUGGAGGAUGAAGGUCUUCGGAUUGUAAACUCCUGUUGAUCGGGACGAACAACCAUCGGGAUAACACCCCGGAGGUCUGACGGUACCGAUUGAGGAAGCCCCGGCUAACUCUGUGCCAGCAGCCGCGGUAAUACAGAGGGGGCAAGCGUUGUUCGGAAUUACUGGGCGUAAAGGGCGCGUAGGCGGCCGCCUAAGUCAGACGUGAAAUCCCUCGGCUCAACCGGGGAACUGCGUCUGAUACUGGGUGGCUUGAAUCCGGGAGAGGGAUGCGGAAUUCCAGGUGUAGCGGUGAAAUGCGUAGAUAUCUGGAGGAACACCGGUGGCGAAGGCGGCAUCCUGGACCGGCAUUGACGCUGAGGCGCGAAAGCCAGGGGAGCAAACGGGGAUUAGAUACCCCGGUAGUCCUGGCCCUAACGAUGAGUGCUUGGUGUGGCGGGUAUCGAUCCCUGCCGUGCCGAAG
rnacentral:rRNA from 1 species